rnacentral:tRNA from 1 species
GCCUAGUUAGCUUAGUUGGUAAUGCGUCUGCCUUGUAAGCGCUAGGCCGCGGGUUCGAAUCCCGCCCGGGGCG